GGGCCAUUAGCUCAGUUGGUUAGAGCUGCCGGCUCAUAACCGGUUGGUCCGGGGUUCGAGUCCCUGAUGGCCCACCA
rnacentral:tRNA from 1 species